rnacentral:tRNA from 1 species
GCGGGGAUAGCUCAGCUGGAAGAGCACCUGUCUUACAAACAGAAGCGCGUCGGUUCGACCCCGACUCCCCGUACCA